CACAGGAAACAGCUAUGACCAUGAUUACGCCAAGCUUGGUACCGAGCUCGGAUCCACUAGUAACGGCCGCCAGUGUGCUGGAAUUCGGCUUAUUACCGCGGCUGCUGGCACGGAGUUAGCCGGUGCUUCUUCUGCGGGUAACAUCAAUGAGCAAAGGUAUUAACUUUACUCCCUUCCUCCCCGCUGAAAGUACUUUACAACCCGAAGGCCUUCUUCAUACACGCGGCAUGGCUGCAUCAGGCUUGCGCCCAUUGUGCAAUAUUCCCCACUGCUGCCUCCCGU
rnacentral:rRNA from 1 species